GCAUAUUCGAGUAACUUUGCUUCAUGAUCAAACAUUGCAAAGAAUGCUACUCACUGGAUUUGGAAAAGUAGUUUUUGGAUCUACUUCUUGUACUCUUCGUAGGUUUGAGAAUUGAAAUCUCAGGAAGUAACUUCCAAGACGAUGCCCUCUACCACAUCACAUUUCCAGAUUACAGUGAUCAUCUACCUGUUGCAGAGACACGAAAUUAUAUCUGGUAGAACACAAACGGAAAAGCCUUUGCAAGACAUGUUAGUUAAAUUCUCAUUUGAAGAAAAAAGCUUAUAUUUCUCGGCAUACAUACUACUGAGCUGGUGUUAAGUGAACAAAAUUGAGAUCUCAUGUCCUGGCAAUAAACCAACUCUUGUUAGCUAAGGAUGUGCUGCUUAGUCUUUGCAUUUCAAUGUCUGUUAAAAAGUGACCAUGUGGGCCGGGCGUGGUGCUCACGCCUGUAAUCCCAGCACUUUGGGAGGCCAAGGCGGGCAGAUCACGAGGUCAGGAGAUGGAGACCAUCCUGGCUAACACGGCGAAACUCCGUCUCUACUAAAAAUACAAAAAUCAUCCUGGCGUGGUGGUGGGCGCCUGUAGUCCCAGCUACUCGGGAGGCUGAGGCAGGAGAAUGGCGUGAACCCGAGAGGUGGAGCUUGCAGUGAGCUGAGACUGCGCCACUGCACUCCAGCCUGGGCAACAGAGCGAGACUCUGUCUCAAAAAAUAUAUAAAAAUAAAAAAGUGACCACGUGGCCAGUCAUGGUGGCUUGUGCUUGUAAUUCAAUGGCUCGUGCUUGUAAUCCAAGCACCACUAGACAGAUAGGUUGCUUUAGCUCAGGACUUAGAGGCCAGCCUGGGCAACUGUGAAACUCUGUCUCUACAAAAAUUAUACAAAAGCCAAGAAUGAGAGAAAAGACUUAAUAUUUAAUAGUGAUUAUUAGAUGUAAAAUUAUUUUACCUCAUUUAAUAUAUAUUAAAUCACUUGCAAACAUAGUAAACAUAUAUUUAAAUGGUUUAUUUAAUGUUCGACUUCAUCAAACCUAAAUAUUUUUAUUAUUUUUGAGUUUAGAUGUAAAUAAGUAUUUUGGCAAUCAUUGAGACCAUGAAGUGCAAUGCAGCAGGCAAUGGGUAAAUUAGUUCAAAUCUACUUAUGGAUUUAUUUCCAAACCUUUGAUCUGCUCUCCUGCGGAAAUUUUUUUCUAUUCAAAAGACUCUAGAUUGAAUCCAUGAAUAAGAAUUCUUAUCUUUUAAAACUUCACAUAAUUUUAUUUAGAAAAGUUAUAUAUGUAUAUAUGUGUAUAUAUAUAUGUGUGUAUGUAUGUAUGUAAAUGCUGAAUAUUUACAGAUUGUUGGGUCCAAUUUGUUAGCAGUCCAUCUAAAACUAUCAUUCUAUUCUUUGGGAUUAGAAUUUGAAAAUCAUUUCUUCAGCAGUGAUUUACACUUGUUAUUUACUUCCCUUCGGAUGCCAGAGUGAAAAAUAAAACACACAGACAAAAAUACAGGCACACCUAUUUUGGGCACCAAGCUAUGUGAGAGUAGAUUAAUGGUUAGAAAUUUACAAGAAAAAAGGAAAACCCAAAAACCAAAAGACAGCAACAAACAAUACUCCUGUUCAGUGCAAAGGCCAAAACAGGUGUUUGUCCACAUUUUGUAAUUGAAAAUAGCAUUCUAUUGUCUAGUGUUGCCAGUGAUCCAUAUUUAUAGUUACUUUUUUUAGGUGUCUAGUCUAAUUUGAAUGUUGAAAAUAUAUAUUCUUUUAAUUUCAAUAUAAGUUAAAUUUACAGAAAAGUUGCAAAAGUAGCACAGAGUUUCUAUAUACCCUUCUUCAGUUUUACUUAUUGCUCAUUGUUAAAAACUUACAUUAUUAUAUGCCUUUGUUAAAAUAAUUAAACUGAUAUCCUACAUUACUGUUAAAUAAAAUUCAGACAUUAUGUGGAUUUCAUUAGUUUUUCCAUCGAGGUCUUCUUUCUAUUCCAGCAUUCUAUCCAGGCAACCAUACUAUAUUUUGCUACCAUUUUUUUUUUUUCUAGUCUUAACUGGUCUAUAACGGUUUCUCAUUCUUUUCUUUUUUUUUUAUCAUAACCUUGGUAGGCUGGUAGUCAUGGAAAGUACUGGUCAGGUAUUCUGUGGAAUGAUUGCUCAUCUCGUGACUAGAUUGCACUUAUACAAAAUAAGUGAAGUGAUCUUCUUGUCACAUCAUAUCAGGAGACACAUGAUGUUAUUGGUGACAUUAACUGUUAUCAUUCAGUGACGGUAGUGUUUUCCACUUUUGUCUUCUGUAAAUUUACUUUGUUUUCUUUCCCUAUUCUAUUUUUGGAAAGAAAAUCACUAAAACUAACUCAUUGUCAAGGGCAUGGGGGACAAGAUUUAAGCUCCAUCUCCCCAUGUCAUUUGGAAUUCUUCUGGAAAAAAGGUUUGUUUCAUGUUCUUUACUUAAUUGACUUAUUCAAUUAUUUAUUUAUAGUGUUAUUGACUCAUAUGUAUGUGUUUUAUACCUUUCAUUACAAUUCAAUACUAUUUUGUUGAUCAAACUGUUCUAGCUUUGGCUUGGUUUCUAUGUCCUUUUGGUAUGCCUGUCUGCCUGCUUGCCUGCCUGCCUGCCUGCCUGCCUGCCUUCCUUCGUUCCUUCCUUCCUUCCUUUCCUCCUUCCUCUGUAUUACUUCCUGGUGCUUCAAGAUAUUCCAGGCCCACUUGUCUGUUUCCUUAACCUAGUCAUUGAAUCAGGCAUUGGUCCAAAAACUCUUAUUAAAGAAUAGUCUUUUAUUAAACAAUAGUGUUUAGAAACCAAGAUCUGCAUGAUAGGUAUGUUCGUUGCUCCUAGGGUUUUAUUAUUUUGGGCACUCUCAGUGGAGAAAACUAGGAAAUAUGUGUGCAUACUAACCCACAUGUACCAGUAGUUUCUGUUUUUAUAUUGUCAUGUUUAUAUAUUGUAACGGUUAAUUUUAUGUGGCAACUUGAGUGGGCCACAGAGUGCAAGAUUAAACGCUCUUUUUGUCAGGGUAUUUCCAGAUGAAAUUAGCAUUUAAAUCAGUGGAACUCAGUAAAGCAGAUUGCCCUCUUCAAUGGUUGAGCAUCAUCCAAUCCAUUGAGGGCCUGACCAGAACAAAUGGCAAAGCAAGGUGAAAUUUGUACUUUUUUUUCUUUUUCCUGCCUUACUGCAGGGAUACCUCAUCUCAUUUUCUUGUGCAUUCAGACUGUGAUUUACAUCAUUGAUUUUCCUGGUUGAGGUCUUUGGACUAGGACUGAAUUACACCAGUGGCUUUUCUGAAUCUCCAGCUUGCAGAUUGCAGAUCAUGAGAAUUCUCAGCCUCCAUAAUUGCGUGAGCCAAUUCUCAUGAUCAGUCUCUUCUUAUGUGGAUAUCCUAUUGGUUUUGUUCCUCUUGAGAAACCUGACUAAUACAUAUAUAUUAUGUUAGACAUGUUAUUUGAUUGUGUCUAACUCUAAUUCAGUACUAGGUGAUUCAUUCUAGCCUUCCUUUAUUAUAACAGCCUUCUCUGACAAUAAGAAACCUGAAUCUUAUCCUCUGACUUUUAAGUUGUUAAUUUGCUUUUACACACACAUAUAUGUAAAGCAGGUUCAGAAUAGUUAACCUGCACUACUGUGAGGAAAAAAUAUUACCAACUGGAGUACAGUGUCAACAUACAAUUUUUUUGGUCUGUAAAUAUUGGACAAAAUAUAAGUGAAAAUUAUGUUUUGUUUAUCCUGCUCUACACUUGAAGCAAGUGUGCUUACUUUUAAUGUGAGGCUUUAGUUUAUUCUUUGGUGCUGCAAAUUUUUUAUUGCUAACUCAUCUAAUAUUGCUUCCCUAGUAUGCUCACAUUUUCCUUUCACUCAAACUCUCAUUAGAUGUAGGCAAUAAACUCACAAUAUAUUCUCCAUUAGUCUUUGAUUUCAUUUUUAAUACUAUUUAUCUGUGUAGGAGGUUCUUGGAUAAUUAUUCAACAUAUGUUUAAUCUCACUCAUUUUAUUUUUUUCUGCAGGUUUAUCCAAUAUCGAAAACUUUUCAUGUUCAAAAUUUAUGAUGGAUAUUUUUCCAUAAAGAUAUUUUAUUUGAGUGAAAUUGUUCAAUGCCACUACUCUUUAUAUUUGUUUCAUUCCUAUUAUAAUUUCUGUAACUUUGCUUUUCUUUACAUUUUACAACUGAUUUAUAGUAAUAUUGUUUUGCUUUGUUUUUCAUCUUAUCAUACUCUGGCUUUCGGUAAAUUUUCAGCUGCUAGCAACUUUUUACCAGAGCUCUUAUAAUAUUAUGGUUUUAAUUUUGUUUUCAUUUUAAAGAAUCUAUUGAAAAAAGAGAGAUAUCAGUAAACUAUAUUUAUCUAAUACAUUUAACAUUUUAUACUUCUGAACAUACGUAUUCAUAACAGAUAUCACAGACACAAAUACCUACAAAAUCAGCCAACUUAACAAAAUCAGUGAAAGAUGCUUAUUGUGGACUAUGGCAUCUAAAAACAGGUCUUUCCAUAUCAUUUCCAGGGUCUAGGUCAAGAUUACAAGUUGAAUUCCACAAAACAUAUGUUUGUUUGAUUAUUUACAAUUGUAAAAUAAAUUAAAAAUGAAAAUAAUUUAAGGCUUUAAAAUUUAAGAAAUACAUUGUAUUUUUUCUACUUUGCAAAUAAACCUUUAUAAAAACUCAGAAAGUCUUAGAUGUAUUAAGCUUUUGGGGUUUCAGAUUUUACCUGAUCGUGUAAUCGAUGAGGCUAAGUAUUGGAAACUAGCAUUCAACCUGCUUCUUAAGCUCUUUUCUCUUUCAACAAUGAUUAUUUUUUU
rnacentral:lncRNA from 1 species